AUUGAACGCUGGCGGCAGGCCUAACACAUGCAAGUCGAGCGGAUGAGGGGAGCUUGCUCCUGGAUUCAGCGGCGGACGGGUGAGUAAUGCCUAGGAAUCUGCCUGGUAGUGGGGGAUAACGUCCGGAAACGGGCGCUAAUACCUCAUACGUCCUGAGGGAGAAAGUGGGGGAUCUUCGGACCUCACGCUAUCAGAUGAGCCUAGGUCGGAUUAGCUAGUUGGUGGGGUAAAGGCCUACCAAGGCGACGAUCCGUAACUGGUCUGAGAGGAUGAUCAGUCACACGGGAACAGAGAAAGGGUAGAGACACCUAGGGGAGGAAGCAGUGGGGAAUAUUGAAGGAGGGGCGAAAGGCUGAUCCUACAAUGCGGCGGGUGUGAAGAAGGUCUUAGGAUGGUAAAGCACUUAAAGUUGGGAGGAAGGGAAGUAAGUUAAUACCUGGAUGUUUUGACGUUACCAACAGAAUAAGCACCGGCUAACUUCGUG
rnacentral:rRNA from 1 species